CGUGAAGGAUAACGUUGCGUCAGCAACGGCCCGAAGGGCGAGCGAAGCGAGUCAUCCUGCACGACCCAUCA
rnacentral:sRNA from 3 species